rnacentral:rRNA from 1 species
GACGAACGCUGGCGGCGUGCUUAACACAUGCAAGUCGAGCGGAAAGGCCCUUCGGGGUACUCGAGCGGCGAACGGGUGAGUAACACGUGAGUAACCUGCCCUAGGCUUUGGGAUAACCCCGGGAAACCGGGGCUAAUACCGGAUAUGGCCUGGUGCCGCAUGGUGUUGGGUGGAAAGUUUUUUCGGCCUGGGAUGGGCUCGCGGCCUAUCAGCUUGUUGGUGGGGUGAUGGCCUACCAAGGCGAUGACGGGUAGCCGGCCUGAGAGGGCGACCGGCCACACUGGGACUGAGACACGGCCCAGACUCCUACGGGAGGCAGCAGUGGGGAAUAUUGCACAAUGGGCGGAAGCCUGAUGCAGCGACGCCGUGUGAGGGAUGAAGGCCUUCGGGUUGUAAACCUCUUUCAGCAGGGACGAAGCGUGAGUGACGGUACCUGCAGAAGAAGCGCCGGCCAACUACGUG